UCUACAAAUAAGAAACCUCGAAAAUCUCCAGGUGAGAAGAGCAGAAUUGAAGCUGGAAUUAGAGGAGCAGGCCGUGGAAGAGCUAAUGGGCACCCUCAACAGAAUGGGGAAGGGGAGCCCGUCACAUUAUUUGAGGUGGUGAAACUGGGGAAAAGUGCAAUGCAGUCCGUGGUGGAUGACUGGAUUGAAUCAUAUAAACAAGACAGGGACAUCGCACUUCUGGAUUUAAUCAACUUUUUUAUCCAGUGUUCAGGAUGUCGAGGUACUGUGAGAAUAGAGAUGUUUCGAAAUAUGCAGAAUGCAGAAAUCAUCAGAAAAAUGACUGAAGAAUUUGAUGAGGACAGUGGUGAUUAUCCUCUUACCAUGCCUGGACCUCAGUGGAAAAAAUUUCGUUCAAACUUUUGUGAAUUUAUUGGAGUCCUGAUUCGACAGUGUCAGUAUAGUAUAAUUUAUGAUGAGUAUAUGAUGGACACAGUAAUCUCCCUUUUGACGGGUUUGUCAGACUCCCAGGUCAGAGCUUUUAGGCAUACAAGUACCCUGGCUGCCAUGAAGCUCAUGACUGCUCUGGUGAAUGUUGCCUUAAACCUCAGUAUUCAUCAGGAUAAUACCCAGAGACAAUAUGAAGCCGAGAGAAAUAAAAUGAUUGGGAAGAGAGCCAAUGAAAGGUUGGAGUUACUACUUCAGAAACGCAAAGAGCUGCAAGAAAAUCAGGAUGAAAUCGAAAAUAUGAUGAACUCUAUUUUUAAGGGUAUAUUUGUUCAUAGAUACCGGUAAGAGAUUUUAAAAAUAAUUUUGAAGGCUUUUCACUUAAACAAUUAUUGAUUUUUUUUGUGGCCCAGGCUAACUGUAAAACUCACUAAUUAUGAUUUGUGUUUUGUUUUCUGGAAAACAACUUUGGCUGUCAAUGUCACACUACAACUAUAGAAGAAAUUGUAUGACUACUGCCACUACCACUGUUAUACUCUUCCAGAUUCAGAACAUAUGCUGUUGGAAGUAGCUUAUGUACUUGGAUUUAUACCGAUGGAAUAUUAAUUAAUAGGAUCAUAAACUAAUGUAGCUUUAAUAAGAUAUUCUUGUUUUCACAUUUAAAAAAUUAAAUGCCCUACUUCUUGCUCUGUGGUACUCAUUUUGUUCCAUGGGCAAAUUAAUAAUUAAAAAAAAAAAAAACCUGUGUGAAGCUGGGCGAAAAGAGGACAGAGAAGGACACCCCCGCAGUUAAUGCAACA
rnacentral:sRNA from 1 species